UUGACCUCGGAUCAGGUAGGAAUACCCGCUGAACUUAAGCAUAUCAAUAAGCGGAGGAAAAGAAACCAACAGGGAUUGCCUCAGUAACGGCGAGUGAAGCGGCAACAGCUCAAAUUUGAAAUCUGGCCUCACGGUCCGAGUUGUAAUUUGUAGAGGAUGCUUUUGGCGAGGUGCUUUCCGAGUUCCCUGGAACGGGACGCCAUAGAGGGUGAGAGCCCCGUACGGUAAGACCACCGAGCCUCUGUAAAGCUCCUUCGACGAGUCGAGUAGUUUGGGAAUGCUGCUCUAAAUGGGAGGUGUACGUCUUCUAAAGCUAAAUACCGGCCAGAGACCGAUAGCGCACAAGUAGAGUGAUCGAAAGAUGAAAAGCACUUUGAAAAGAGGGUUAAAAAGUACGUGAAAUUGUUGAAAGGGAAGCAUUCAUGACCAGACUUGGGCUUGGUUGAACAUCCGGCGUUCUCGCCGGUGCACUCUGCCAGUCCAGGCCAGCAUCAGUUUGCCCCGGGGGACAAAGGCGGUGGGAAUGUGGCUCCCUUCGGGGAGUGUUAUAGCCCGCCGUGUAAUGCCCUGGGGCGGACUGAGGAACGC
rnacentral:rRNA from 1 species